AUGAACGCUGGCGGCGUGCUUAAUACAUGCAAGUCGAACGAAGCUCCUUAUCUUCGGACGAGGAGUCUUAGUGGCGAACGGGUGCGUAACGCGUUGGUAACCUGCCCCAAAGUGGGGGAUAACAGUUCGAAAGGACUGCUAAUACCUCAUGGGAUCAUCAGGAUUAGAUGCUUGAUGAUUAAAGGAGUAAUCCGCUUUGGGAGGGGCCUGCGUCCCAUCAGCUAGUUGUUAGGGUAAUGGCCUACCAAGGCUAUGACGGGUAGGGGACCUGAGAGGGUGGCCCCCCACACUGGCACUGAAAUACGGGCCAGACACCUACGGGUGGCAGCAGUAGGGAAUAUUGGACAAUGGGCGAAAGCCUGAUCCAGCAACGCCGCGUGCACGAUGACGGCCUUCGGGUUGUAAAGUGCUUUUUGAAAGGAUGAGGAAGGACAGUACUUUCAGAAUAAGCUUCGGCUAACUACGU
rnacentral:rRNA from 1 species